rnacentral:rRNA from 1 species
AGAGUUUGAUCAUGGCUCAGAUUGAACGCUGGCGGCAUGCCUUACACAUGCAAGUCGAACGGCAGCACGGGGGCAACCCUGGUGGCGAGUGGCGAACGGGUGAGUAACAUAUCGGAACAUACCCUAGAGUGGGGGAUAACGUAGCGAAAGUUACGCUAAUACCGCAUACGAUCUAAGGAUGAAAGUGGGGGAUCUUCGGACCUCAUGCUCAUGGAGUGGCCGAUAUCUGAUUAGCUAGUUGGUGAGGUAAAGGCUCACCAAGCCGACGAUCGGUAGCUGGUCUGAGAGGAUGAUCAGCCACACUGGGACUGAGAUACGGCCCAGACUCCUACGGGAGGCAGCAGUGGGGAAUAUUGGACAAUGGGGGCAACCCUGAUCCAGCAAUGCCGCGUGAGUGAUGAAGGCCUUAGGGUUGUAAAGCUCUUUUGCCAGGGAAGAUGAUGACUGUACCUGGAGAAUAAGCCCCGGCUAACUUCGUG